AGUGAACGCUGGCGGUAGGCCUAACACAUGCAAGUCGAACGGCAGCACAGUAAGAGCUUGCUCUUACGGGUGGCGAGUGGCGGACGGGUGAGGAAUACAUCGGAAUCUACUUUUUCGUGGGGGAUAACGUAGGGAAACUUACGCUAAUACCGCAUACGACCUACGGGUGAAAGCAGGGGAUCUUCGGACCUUGCGCGAUUGAAUGAGCCGAUGUCGGAUUAGCUAGUUGGCGGGGUAAAGGCCCACCAAGGCGACGAUCCGUAGCUGGUCUGAGAGGAUGAUCACCCCACUGGGAACUGGGACACGGGCCAAACCCCCAGGGGGGGCAGGGGGGGGGAAUAUGGGAAAAGGGGCGCAAGCCUGACCCGCCCAUACCGGGGGGGGGAAGAGGGCCUUCGGGUUGUAAAGCCCUUUUUUUGGGAAAAAAAAGCAGCGGGUUAAUACCCCGCUGUUUGGGGGGAACCCAAAGAAUAAGCACCGGCUAACUGCGU
rnacentral:rRNA from 1 species